UUUUUUCUAGAGCCUCAAUCGCAAUUGCAGUUGGUGUGAUACUGGAAACAUCUCUAUAUCCUAGUUUUGCAGCAAUAUUUUCAAGAGAAACCCUAGCGUUGGCAUUUGCAUAAUAUUCACCUCUCUCUUCAAGAAGAGUAGACAAACACCUGAAAGCCUUUGUGUAUUCAUCGCCUGAUUCAUGGUGCAAAAGUGGGCGAGAAUUCGUUCCCACUGCUGCAAUCCUCUGUGCCAAGGCUUCCAAAGGCACAUCCAACCAGACACUAAUUCCCUUUUGCAUGUAUUUCCAAUUAAUGGGCCGUAUAACUGCACCUCCACCGGUAGAAACAACAAGCCGAUGCAUCAUAGACAACUUCUUCAAGGCCUCAGUCUCUUUAUUUCUGAAGAAACCCUCUCCAUAGAGCUUAAAAAUUUCAGCUACUGAAGCUCCAUCAACCUCCUGCUCCACCAAUGUGUCACAGUCACAGAACGAAUAACCAAGUACUUGUGAGAGAAUCUUGCCCACAGUGG
rnacentral:misc_RNA from 1 species